UACGUAGGGUGCAAGCGUUGUCCGGAAUUAUUGGGCGUAAAGAGCUCGUAGGCGGUCUGUCGCGUCUGCUGUGAAAACUCAGGGCUUAACCCUGAGCUUGCAGUGGGUACGGGCAGACUAGAGUGCGGUAGGGGAGACUGGAAUUCCUGGUGUAGCGGUGAAAUGCGCAGAUAUCAGGAGGAACACCAAUUGCGAAGGCAGCUCGCUGGGAC
rnacentral:rRNA from 1 species